GUGAGUUGAGAGGGUGAGAGGAGAGAGAGAAAGCUUGUAUAUUUCUUUUAAAUUUUUGUUUUAUUUAUUUUAAGGUUUAAUUUAAGUUUUGAAUUGAUUUGGGCUUUUCUUUAAAAUCUGAUGGACUCUUGUAAAAUGGGCCGAAGUUCUUUUAAUAACUUGGGCUAUAUUUUUUUUCUUAUUUAUAUUGGGCUCUGAUUAAUUAUUUGAACACUUGGGCUUAAUUGGUUAUUAUA
rnacentral:lncRNA from 1 species